UGGGGAAUUUUGGACAAUGGGCGAAAGCCUGAUCCAGCAAUGCCGCGUGUGUGAAGAAGGCCUUCGGGUUGUAAAGCACUUUUGUCCGGAAAGAAAUCCUUGGCUCUAAUACAGUCGGGGGAUGACGGUACCGGAAGAAUAAGCACCGGCUAACUACGUGCCAGCAGCCGCGGUAAUACGUAGGGUGCAAGCGUUAAUCGGAAUUACUGGGCGUAAAGCGUGCGCAGGCGGUUUGCUAAGACCGAUGUGAAAUCCCCGGGCUCAACCUGGGAACUGCAUUGGUGACUGGCAGGCUAGAGUAUGGCAGAGGGGGGUAGAAUUCCACGUGUAGCAGUGAAAUGCGUAGAGAUGUGGAGGAAUACCGAUGGCGAAGGCAGCCCCCUGGGCCAAUACUGACGCUCAUGCACGAAAGCGUGGGGAGCAAAGCAGGAUUAGAUACCCUGGUAGUCCACGCCCUAAACGAUGUCAACUAGUUGUUGGGGAUUCAUUUCCUUAGUAACGUAGCUAACGCGUGAAGUUGACCGCCUGGGGGAGUACGGUCGCAAGAUUAAAACUCAAAUGAAUUGACGGGGUCAUAGCUGUUUCCU
rnacentral:rRNA from 1 species